UUUGGGGGAAAUAGUGGUCCGUUAAGUUAGGAAAAAAGACAUCAUCCCUUGAGAUAAAAUUAGGUUCGUUUCCUUUUACUCCUAAAAUCUUUUUACUGUGGGUAAAAAGAAUCAAUAUGGGGGUAUAAAAGGAACCAACUUUAAAUUUAACUCAAGGAGUCUUCAUGUCGUUUUUCCCAACAUGACGGAUCACUAUUUUCCCCAAG
rnacentral:pre_miRNA from 1 species